rnacentral:rRNA from 1 species
GCAACUCUGAACCAGCCAUGCCGCGUGCAGGAAGACUGCCCUAUGGGUUGUAAACUGCUUUUAUACAGGAAGAAACAGUCUUACGUGUACGACCUUGACGGUACUGUAAGAAUAAGGACCGGCUAACUCCGUGCCAGCAGCCGCGGUAAUACGGAGGGUGCAAGCGUUAUCCGGAAUCAUUGGGUUUAAAGGGUCCGCAGGCGGUCAAUUAAGUCAGAGGUGAAAUCCCAUAGCUUAACUAUGGAACUGCCUUUGAUACUGGUUGACUUGAGUUAUACGGAAGUAGAUAGAAUAAGUAGUGUAGCGGUGAAAUGCAUAGAUAUUACUUAGAAUACCGAUUGCGAAGGCAGA